rnacentral:rRNA from 1 species
UGCACAAUGGGCGCAAGCCUGAUGCAGCGACGCCGCGUGAGGGAUGGAGGCCUUCGGGUUGUAAACCUCUUUUAUCGGGGAGCAAGCGAGAGUGAGUUUACCCGUUGAAUAAGCACCGGCUAACUACGUGCCAGCAGCCGCGGUAAUACGUAGGGUGCAAGCGUUAUCCGGAAUUAUUGGGCGUAAAGGGCUCGUAGGCGGUUCGUCGCGUCCGGUGUGAAAGUCCAUCGCUUAACGGUGGAUCCGCGCCGGGUACGGGCGGGCUUGAGUGCGGUAGGGGAGACUGGAAUUCCCGGUGUAACGGUGGAAUGUGUAGAUAUCGGGAAGAACACCAAUGGCGAAGGCAGGUCUCUGGGCCGUUACUGACGCUGAGGAGCGAAAGCGUGGGGAGCGAACAGGAUUAGAUACCCUGGUAGUCCACGCCGUAAACGGUGGAUGCUGGAUGUGGGGCCCGUUCCACGGGUUCCGUGUCGGAGCUAACGCGUUAAGCAUCCCGCCUGGGGAGUACGGCCGCAAGGCUAAAACUCAAAGAAAUUGACGGGGGCCCGCACAAGCGGCGGAGCAUGCGGAUUAAUUCGAUGCAACGCGAAGAACCUUACCUGGGCUUGACAUGUUCCCGACGGUCGUAGAGAUACGGCUUCCCUUCGGGGCGGGUUCACAGGUGGUGCAUGGUCGUCGUCAGCUCGUGUCGUGAGAUGUUGGGUUAAGUCCCGCAACGAGCGCAACCCUCGCCCUGUGUUGCCAGCACGUCAUGGUGGGAACUCACGGGGGACCGCCGGGGUCAACUCGGAGGAAGGUGGGGAUGACGUCAGAUCAUCAUGCCCCUUACGUCCAGGGCUUCACGCAUGCUACAAUGGCCGGUACAACGGGAUGCGACGCGGCGACGCGGAGCGGAUCCCUGAAAACCGGUCU